rnacentral:tRNA from 2 species
GUCAGGUUGGCCGAGUGGUCUAAGGCGCCAGAUUUAAGCUCUGGUACUCGCAAGAGUGCGUGGGUUCGAACCCCACACCUGACA